rnacentral:tRNA from 1 species
GGAGAGAUAUCGAAGUGGUCAUAACGGGGCUGACUCGAAAUCAGUUUGUGCGAAAGCACACGAGGGUUCGAAUCCCUCUCUCUCCGCCA